GUCAGACGAUGCGUCAUGCAUAUCAAUAAGCGGAGGAAAAGAAACUAACAAGGAUUCCCCUAGUAACGGCGGGUGAAGCGGGAAGAGCUCAAAUUUGAAAUCUUAAAGGGUUUCCCUUUACGAAUUGUAGUUUAAAGAAGUGUUUUCUGUUGAGGUUUUGGUAAAAGUUCUUUGGAAUAGGACAUCAUAGAGGGUGAGAAUCCCGUAUUUGACCUUUACUUUCAACUUUGUGAUACACUUUCAAAGAGUCGGAUUGUUUGGGAAUGCAGUCCAAAAUGGGUGGUAAAUUUCAUCUAAAGCUAAAUAUUGGCGAGAGACCGACAGCGAACAAGUACCGUGGGGGAAAGAUGAAAAGAACUUUGAAAAGAGAGUUAAACAGUACGUGAAAUUGUCAAAAGGGAAGCGUUUGACACCAGUGUUGUUUUUCUGAAAAUCAAUUAAAGAACUGUUUAUGCUAAGUUGUUUAGACUUUAUCAGCUAACUGUUUAGUUUUGAGCUUUUCUUUAACGCACUUUUCAGUUAACAAGUCAACAUCAAUUUCUUUUGCUGUAAAAAAGCUUGAGGAAGGUGGCUUGAGAUUCGUCUUAAGUGUUUAUAGCCUCUUGCCUAUGCAGUCGGAGAGAUUGAGGUCUGCAGCGUAGAUCCUUCGGGGCUAAAUGCAUUUGUGCUAAGUUAUAGCAUUUUAUAGACAACUUGUUGACUAUGAUUUGUCUUGUAGCUUACCCGCUUAUGUUAUUUUACCUACGCUUAGGAUGUUGAGCGCAUGUCUCUCUCU
rnacentral:rRNA from 1 species